GAUGAACGCUGGCGGCGUGCCUAAUACAUGCAAGUCGAGCGAACGGACGAGAAGCUUGCUUCUCUGAUGUUAGCGGCGGACGGGUGAGUAACACGUGGAUAACCUACCUAUAAGACUGGGAUAACUUCGGGAAACCGUAGCUAAUACCGGAUAAUAUUUUGAACCGCAUGGUUCAAAAGUGAAAGACGGUCUUGCUGUCACUUAUAGAUGGAUCCGCGCUGCAUUAGCUAGUUGGUAAGGUAACGGCUUACCAAGGCAACGAUGCAUAGCCGACCUGAGAGGGUGAUCGGCCACACUGGAACUGAGACACGGUCCAGACUCCUACGGGAGGCAGCAGUAGGGAAUCUUCCGCAAUGGGCGAAAGCCUGACGGAGCAACGCCGCGUGAGUGAUGAAGGUCUUCGGAUCGUAAAACUCUGUUAUUAGGGAAGAACAUAUGUGUAAGUAACUGUGCACAUCUUGACGGUACCUAAUCAGAAAGCCACAGCUAACUACGUG
rnacentral:rRNA from 1 species